rnacentral:ncRNA from 1 species
GGGCGUUUGGUGGAUGCCUUGGCAGCAAGAGGCGAUGAAGGACGUGAUACUCUGCGAUAAGCCGUGAGGAGCCGAGAAUAGGCUUUGAUCCACGGAUCUCCGAAUGGGGCAACCCACUGGAUAUUCUGUUAUUGUCACCAUCGGUGAUCAAUAACGGGGUAACACCAGUACUUAAUUCCUGAAUACAUAGGGUUUUAAGAGCAAACCCGGGGAACUGAAACAUCUAAGUACCCGGAGGAAAGGAAAUCAAUGAUACUCCCCUAGUAGUGGCGAGCGAACGGGGACCAGCCGAGCCUGAGACGUGACCGGAAUGGCCUGGGAAGGCCAGCCAUAGCGGGUGACAGCCCCGUACGGGAAGCGUCGAUGGACAUAUCAAGUAGGGCGGGACACGUGAAAUCCUGUCUGAAGAUCGGAGGACCACCUUCGAAGGCUAAGUACUCCUUGCUGACCGAUAGCGAACCAGUACCGUGAGGGAAAGGUGAAAAGCACCCCGACGAGGGGAGUGAAACAGUACCUGAAACCGAGCGCCU